rnacentral:rRNA from 1 species
AUUGAACGCUGGCGGCAUGCCUUACACAUGCAAGUCGAACGGCAGCACGGGAGCAAUCCUGGUGGCGAGUGGCGAACGGGUGAGUAAUAUAUCGGAACGUGCCCAGUCGUGGGGAUAACGUAGCGAAAGCUACGCUAAUACCGCAUACGAUCUAUGGAUGAAAGCGGGGGAUCGCAAGACCUCGCGCGAUUGGAGCGGCCGAUAUCAGAUUAGGUAGUUGGUGAGGUAAAGGCUCACCAAGCCGACGAUCUGUAGCUGGUCUGAGAGGACGACCAGCCACACUGGGACUGAGACACGGCCCAGACUCCUACGGGAGGCAGCAGUGGGGAAUUUUGGACAAUGGGCGCAAGCCUGAUCCAGCAAUGCCGCGUGCAGGAUGAAGGCCUUCGGUUGUAACUU